GAUGAACGCUGGCGGCGUGCCUAAUACAUGCAAGUCGAGCGAACAGACGAGGAGCUUGCUCCUCUGACGUUAGCGGCGGACGGGUGAGUAACACGUGGAUAACCUACCUAUAAGACUGGGAUAACUUCGGGAAACCGGGGCUAAUACCGGAUAAUAUAUUGAACCGCAUGGUUCAAUAGUGAAAGACGGUUUUGCUGUCACUUAUAGAUGGAUCCGCGCCGCAUUAGCUAGUUGGUAAGGUAACGGCUUACCAAGGCAACGAUGCGUAGCCGACCUGAGAGGGUGAUCGGCCACACUGGAACUUAGACACGGUCCAGACUCCUACGGGAGGCAGCAGUAGGGAAUCUUCCGCAAUGGGCGAAAGCUUGACGGAGCAACGCCGCGUGAGUGAUGAAGGUCUUCGGAUCGUAAAACUCUGUUAUUAGGAAAGAACAAAUGUGUAAGUAACUAUGCACGUCUUGACGGUACCUAAUCAGAAAGCCACGGCUAACUACGUG
rnacentral:rRNA from 1 species